UCUCCUCACAUACGACAACCUUUUCGCCCCCAUCGAUCUCUCCUCUCGACGAAAACCUCCUCGGCGAAACCCUCUGCUCGGCCAAAACCUCGCUCACCCCCAUCUCUCCGCCAAAAGCUCUUCUCGGCGAAAACCUCUGCUCUGCCAAAACCUUGCUUGCCCCAAUCUCUCCGCCAAAACCUCUGGUAUCUCCUCUGUCUGCCAAAACCAAGCCUCCACCAAAACCUAGCCUCUUUCUCCCAGAAACCUCCAUCUCCUCCCAAAACCUAGCCCCCACAAAAACCUACAUCUCAGCCAAAGCCCCACACGUCCCGUGACCUAGCCUCCACCACUCUUCAGCGACUUGAGGUGUUUAGGACAACCGAUGCCGUUGGAAAAGGCUCUUCUCGUGUGACUGGUUUGUCACACAUCUCUUCCUCAUUCUAUUCCCAUAUCAAUAUUAAAUUUAAUGGUUAAAACAACAAUUGUCGCAUCCAACACCUCCAAAACUGUGACAAAUACCAAAAUUAGAGCGAAAACCGUGAAGAAAGUGUAUUCUUUGCCCGGCCAGAAGCAUAAUCCUCCUGAAGAGGAACCAUUGAGGAUAUUCUAUGAAUCUCUAUCGAAACAAAUUCCCUCAAGUGAAAUGGCACAAUUUUGAGGAAGCUGAAGAGGAAGAAUGAUUAAUAGUGAUUGCUUGAACAGACUAAUAGUUAGGGGCCUUCCAAAGGUGUGAUUGGGAAGUACUUUGAUGAAGAACUAUCAAGAAGACUUUGGGAUUUAAGCGAGAAGAUGGAUAAAGCCAAUGAGUAAAGAGCAUUCAAGUCAAGAUGAUAAGUACCAUCUAUUAAGAUCAUUUAAAUUCAUGCAAUAAGAUGUAGUCGAGAUGAGUAGUUUUGAGUGUCCUAAUUUAAAUUUCUUUUUUAAGCAAGAAAUUAUGUUUGUUAUAGAAGUGUAAGGAUGAUAAUUUGUAUAUUUAUCUUGGUUGUUUAUUUAAUAAUAUGUUGUUGAUUGAAA